AGGACAGCAGCUUGGCAUUGGAAGCUAUGAUGUGCACAUGGACCCUAUGAAGUGGAAAAAUUGGAAGUGACGAGGAUAACUGGUGUGAACGUCAUGCUAGAUGACAGCUGUCUGUUUGAAGGACUGCCAGAGGACUGCCCUCUCUUUGAAGGAUUGCCCUGUCGAAGGAUAUAGUAAAGAUAAAGAGCCAUGGAAGCUUUUGGGACAGCAGACUGGGAAGGCAGUCUGCCUUGGGGCACUGCAAAAGGAACAACAUGAAAGACCUCAAGGGAAAAAGAAGAAGAAGGUAUUCGCUGUGAAAUGAAUGUUGCAAUAAAAGAGCUACAUAAGCUUUGGCCCUUGGUGCUAAUAGCCAAGUCUACAUGUUCCUGUCAACCACAUUCCUUCCUUGAAAAAUGAGUUCUUCUUCUCAGAGAUUAGCAUACACAGCAAGAAACCUAUGAAAAGGAUAGAAGUCCAGGGGUCAAAGUUGUCUCUUACUUUUUAAAUGAUGUCAGAUAU